AUGAACGCUAGCUACAGGCUUAACACAUGCAAGUCGAGGGGCAGCAUGAACUUAGCUUGCUAAGUUUGAUGGCGACCGGCGCACGGGUGAGUAACACGUAUCCAACCUGCCGAUGACUCGGGGAUAGCCUUUCGAAAGAAAGAUUAAUACCCGAUGGCAUAGUUCUUCCGCAUGGUGGAACUAUUAAAGGAUUUCGGUCAUCGAUGGGGAUGCGUUCCAUUAGGUUGUUGGCGGGGUAACGGCCCACCAAGCCUUCGAUGGAUAGGGGUUCUGAGAGGAAGGUCCCCCACAUUGGAACUGAGACACGGUCCAAACUCCUACGGGAGGCAGCAGUGAGGAAUAUUGGUCAAUGGACGAGAGUCUGAACCAGCCAAGUAGCGUGAAGGAUGACUGCCCUAUGGGUUGUAAACUUCUUUUAUACGGGAAUAAAGUGAGGCACGUGUGCCUUUUUGUAUGUACCGUAUGAAUAAGGAUCGGCUAACUCCGUGCCAGCAGCCGCGGUAAUACGGAGGAUCCGAGCGUUAUCCGGAUUUAUUGGGUUUAAAGGGAGCGUAGGCGGACGCUUAAGUCAGUUGUGAAAGUUUGCGGCUCAACCGUAAAAUUGCAGUUGAUACUGGGUGUCUUGAGUACAGUAGAGGCAGGCGGAAUUCGUGGUGUAGCGGUGAAAUGCUUAGAUAUCACGAAGAACUCCGAUUGCGAAGGCAGCCUGCUGGACUGUAACUGACGCUGAUGCUCGAAAGUGUGGGUAUCAAACAGGAUUAGAUACCCUGGUAGUCCACACAGUAAACGAUGAAUACUCGCUGUUUGCGAUAUACAGUAAGCGGCCAAGCGAAAGCGUUAAGUAUUCCACCUGGGGAGUACGCCGGCAACGGUGAAACUCAAAGGAAUUGACGGGGGCCCGCACAAGCGGUGGAGCAUGUGGUUUAAUUCGAAGCAACGCGAAGAACCUUACCAAGUCUUGACAUCCUGCGACGCACAUAGAAAUAUGUGUUUCCUUCGGGACGCAGAGACAGGUGGUGCAUGGUUGUCGUCAGCUCGUGUCGUGAGAUGUUGGGUUAAGUCCCGCAACGAGCGCAACCCUUAUUACUAGUUGCCAGCAUUUAGUUGGGCACUCUAGUGAGACUGCCGGUGACAAACCGGAGGAAGGUGGGGAUGACGUCAAAUCAUCAUGCCCCUUAUGACCUGGGCUACACACGUACUACAAUGGCUAUAACAAAGAGAAGCGAAAUAGUGAUAUGGAGCAAAACUCAAAAAAAUAGUCUCAGUUCGGAUUGAAGGCUGAAAUUCGCCUUCAUGAAGCUGGAAUUGCUAGUAAUGGCAGGUCAGCAUAUUGCCGUGAAUACGUUCCCGGGCCUUGUACACACCGCCCGUCACACCAUGAGAGUUGGGGAUACCCGAAGCCUGUGAGCCAACAGUUAAAUGGGGCAGCAGUCGAAGGUAGAAUCAAUGAUUGGGGUG
rnacentral:rRNA from 1 species